GGGGUUGUGGCUCAGUGGUAGAGCACUUGCUGGCAUACAUGAGCUCUGGGUUCAGUUCCCAGUACUGCA
rnacentral:tRNA from 1 species